rnacentral:rRNA from 1 species
UACGGAAAGCAGCAGUGGGGAAUAUUGCACAAUGGGCGAAAGCCUGAUGCAGCUAUGCCGCGUGUAUGAAGAAGGCCUUAGGGUUGUAAAGUACUUUCAUCGGGGAGGAAAAAACAAAACUAAUAAUUUUAUUUCUUGACGUUACCCGAAAAAGAAGCACCGGCUAACUCCGUGCCAGCAGCCGCGGUAAUACGGAGGGUGCUAGCGUUAAUCAGAAUUACUGGGCGUAAAGAGCACGUAGGUGGUUUUUUAAAGUCAGAUGUGAAAUCCCUGGGCUUAACCUAGGAACUGCAUUUUGAAACUGAAAUACUAGAGUAUCGUAGAAGGAGGUAGAAUUCUAGGUGUAGCGGUGAAAUGCGUAGAUAUCUGGAGGAAUACCUGUGGCGAAAGCGGCCUCCUAAACGAAUACUGACACUGAGGUGCGAAAGCGUGGGGAGCAAACAGGGAUUAGAUACC